GUGGAUUCUCAAGCGUGAGGUAAGAGCAUUUGGUGGAUGCCUUGGCACAUACAGGCGAUGAAGGACGUGGCACGCUGCGAUAAGCGUUGGGGAGAUGUGAGCAAUCUUUGAUCCAGCGAUUUCCGAAUGGGGGAACCCAUCCUCACCAUUUACUUUUGUCUUGAAGGACAGCAGGUUUUCCUGGGGUCCGACAAGGUGAGGGUAAAUGGGGAAGGAUAUCACCGAGUUGAAUAAAAUAGACUUGGUGAAGCGAACCCGGCGAACUGAAACAUCUCAGUAACCGGAGGAAAAGACAUCAACCGAGAUUCCGUUAGUAGUGGCGAGCGAACGCGGACCAGGCCAGUGCCGACAAGUAAAUUAGCAGAACAUUCUGGAAAGUUUGACCAUAGUGGGUGACAGUCCCGUAUGCGAAAAUGAUCUUGUCGGACUCGAGUAGGGCGGAACACGUGAAAUUCUGUCUGAACAUGGGGGGACCACCCUCCAAGCCUAAAUACUCGUAUGUGACCGAUAGUGAACAAGUACCGUGAGGGAAAGGUGAAAAGCACCCCGAUUAGGGGAGUGAAAUAGUACCUGAAACCGAAUGCUUACAAGCAGUGGGAGCUCCCUUGUGGAGUGACCGCGUACCUCUUGCAUAAUGGGUCAGUGACUUAAUUUAUCUAGCAAGCUUAAGCCGUUAGGUGUAGGCGCAGCGAAAGCGAGUCUGAAUAGGGCGACUGAGUUAGAUGAAUUAGACCCGAAACCCGGCGAUCUAGGCAUGACCAGGUUGAAGGUGCGGUAACACGCACUGGAGGACCGAACCAUUUAAUGUUGAAAAAUUAUUGGAUGAGUUGUGUUUAGGGGUGAAAGGCCAAUCAAGCCGGGAAAUAGCUGGUUCUCCGCGAAAACUAUUGAGGUAGUGCCUCGGAUGUUUUCCUAUGGGGGUAGAGCACUGGAUGGGCUAGGGGGUCGCGAGACCUACCAAACCUAACCAAACUCCGAAUACCAUAGAGACAAGUCCGGGAGACAGACGGCGGGUGCUAAGGUCCGUCGUCAAAAGGGAAACAGCCCUAACCUACAGCUAAGGUCCCCAAGUCAUCACUAAGUGGGAAAGCAUGUGGGAAUCCCAAAACAACCAGGAGGUUGGCUUAGAAGCAGCCAUCCUUUAAAGAAAGCGUAACAGCUCACUGGUCUAAAUAAGGGUUCCUGCGGCGAAGAUGUAACGGGGCUAAAGUGAUGCACCGAAGCUUAGGGUUCAGAAUUUAUUCUGAGCGGUAGCGGAGCGUUCCGUAAGCGGAUGAAGCCGAAGGGUAACCGACGGUGGACGUAUCGGAAGUGCGAAUGCUGACAUGAGUAGCGACAAACAGUGUGAGAUGCACUGUCGCCGAAAGCCCAAGGGUUCCUGCUUAAAGCUAAUCUGAGCAGGGUGAGUCGGCCCCUAAGACGAGCCCGAAGGGGGUAGUCGAUGGGAACACGGUUAAUAUUCCGUGACCUGGUGGAAUGUGACGGAUCUCGUGUGUUGUCUGAUCUUAUUGGAUUGAUCAGGCUUCGAAGAGGUUCCAGGAAAUAGCUCCACCAUAUAGACCGUACCCUAAACCGACACAGGUGGGCAGGUAGAGUAUACCAAGGCGCUUGAGAGAAGUAUCCUGAAGGAACUCGGCAAAUUACCUCCGUAACUUCGGGAGAAGGAGGCCCUGUCAGAAGGCAACUUUUGGCAGGGGGCACAAGCUGGGGGGUAGCGACUGUUUAGCAAAAACACAGGACUCUGCUAAGUCGGCUUCAAGACGACGUAUAGGGUCUGACGCCUGCCCGGUGCUCGAAGGUUAAGAGGAGGAGUGCAAGCUCUGAAUUGAAGCCCGAGUAAACGGCGGCCGUAACUAUAACGGUCCUAAGGUAGCGAAAUUCCUUGUCGGGUAAGUUCCGACCUGCACGAAUGGCGUAACGACUUCCCCACUGUCUCCAGGGCAGACUCAGUGAAAUUGAAUUCGAGGUUAAGAUGCCUCGUACUCGCGGUUAGACGGAAAGACCCUAUGAACCUUUACUAUAGCUUCGCAGUGACAAUAUGACUGUAACGUGUAGCAUAGGCGGGAGACUUUGAAGCCGGAACGCUAGUUUCGGUGGAGUCACCAAGUGAAAUACCGCCCUUUGCUUUUGUAUUGUCUAACCACGGCCCGUUAUCCGGGUCUGGGACCCUGCGUGGUGGGUAGUUUGACUGGGGCGGUCGCCUCCUAAAGUGUAACGGAGGCGCGCGAUGGUAUGCUCAGGACGGUCGGAAAUCGUCCAUCGAGUGCAUUGGCAUAAGCAUGCUUUACUGCGAGACAGACAAGUCGAGCAGUUACGAAAGUAGGUCAAAGUGAUCCGGUGGUUCCGCAUGGAAGGGCCAUCGCUCAACGGAUAAAAGGUACUCUAGGGAUAACAGGCUGAUAGCGCCCAAGCGCUCACAGCGACGGCGCUGUUUGGCACCUCGAUGUCGGCUCAUCUCAUCCUGGGGCUGUAGCAGGUCCCAAGGGUAUGGCUGUUCGCCAUUUAAAGAGGUACGUGAGCUGGGUUCAGAACGUCGUGAGACAGUUCGGUCCCUAUCUGCCGUGAGAGUUGGAGUCUUGAGAAGAGCUGCCCUUAGUACGAGAGGACCGGGGUGGACGAAUCUCUGGUGUAUCUGUUGUUCCGCCAGGAGCAUAGCAGAGUAGCUAUAUUCGGACAGGAUAACCGCUGAAAGCAUCUAAGCGGGAAGCCCCCUUCAAUACUAGGACUCCCUAUCAGAGCCGUGGAAGACCACCACGUUGAUAGGCUGGAUGUGGAAGCUCGGUAACGAGUGAAGCUAACCAGUACUAAUUGCUCGAUUGGCUUGAAUU
rnacentral:rRNA from 1 species